GGCAAAAGAAUUUGUGGGGGUCACACUCAGCUCGUGGAUGCAGCGGAGCAAGCAGGCUGUAACCUCUCCGAGGCAGGUUUUCUAUGUGUUUUCAUGAAGCACUUUUCGAGGAAAGUCAUGCAGGAGGGAAAAGUGUUCAGGAGCAAGUGAUAUCUCCAUGAAGUGAAAUUAAUCUAUUCACUAUCACCCAGAGCCUGACAAUUGAUUAUGGCAAAUGUAUCAGCCCAGAGGAAGGAAUAAGAGGACAGAUGGCAGAAAUUUCCCAAGGGAGAAAAGAGAAUUACCAGAGAAGAUCAGGAUCAGACCUGCACAGGUGAUCAUGAAAUCGAAAUGCCUGAAAACUCAAUUUCUCAAGGUCGAUAUAGCCCAUGCCUAGGUAACCAGCCUCUCUGAAUUCUGAGGCAAAUGAGACAAAAUGAGAAAACUGGGAGGUGCUGGAGGACUGGCAACAGUGUAGUAUCAGUGACGACCUAGAGAAAAUCAAAGUACAUCAGGGUAUGGUCAGCUGGGUGGUUUCUAUUUUAUGUAUGUUUUCUGCACCACACUCAUCACUGGAGUUUCUGAGCACAUUCAUCAGCCAUGUGGUCUU